UGGGGAAUUUUGGACAAUGGGCGAAAGCCUGAUCCAGCAAUGCCGCGUGUGUGAAGAAGGCCUUCGGGUUGUAAAGCACUUUUGUCCGGAAAGAAAUCCUUGGCUCUAAUACAGUCGGGGGAUGACGGUACCGGAAGAAUAAGCACCGGCUAACUACGUGCCAGCAGCCGCGGUAAUACGUAGGGUGCAAGCGUUAAUCGGAAUUACUGGGCGUAAAGCGUGCGCAGGCGGUUUGCUAAGACCGAUGUGAAAUCCCCGGGCUCAACCUGGGAACUGCAUUGGUGACUGGCAGGCUAGAGUAUGGCAGAGGGGGGUAGAAUUCCACGUGUAGCAGUGAAAUGCGUAGAGAUGUGGAGGAAUACCGAUGACGAAGGCAGCCCCCUGGGCCAAUACUGACGCUCAUGCACGAAAGCGUGGGGAGCAAACAGGAUUAGAUACCCUGGUAGUCCACGCCCUAAACGAUGUCAACUAGUUGUUGGGGAUUCAUUUCCUUAGUAACGUAGCUAACGCGUGAAGUUGACCGCCUGGGGAGUACGGUCG
rnacentral:rRNA from 1 species